rnacentral:rRNA from 1 species
GACGAACGCUGGCGGCGUGCUUAACACAUGCAAGUCGAACGGAAAGGCUCUGCUUUUGUGGGGUGCUCGAGUGGCGAACGGGUGAGUAACACGUGAGUAACCUGCCCUUGACUUUGGGAUAACUUCAGGAAACUGGGGCUAAUACCGGAUAGGAGCUCCUGCUGCAUGGUGGGGGUUGGAAAGUUUCGGCGGUUGGGGAUGGACUCGCGGCUUAUCAGCUUGUUGGUGGGGUAGUGGCUUACCAAGGCUUUGACGGGUAGCCGGCCUGAGAGGGUGACCGGCCACGUUGGGACUGAGAUACGGCCCAGACUCCUACGGGAGGCAGCAGUGGGGAAUAUUGCACAAUGGGCGGAAGCCUGAUGCAGCAACGCCGCGUGCGGGAUGACGGCCUUCGGGUUGUAAACCGCUUUCGCCUGUGACGAAGCGUGAGUGACGGUAAUGGGUAAAGAAGCACCGGCUAACUACGUG